CGGUGGAUGAUGUGGAUUAAUUCGAUGCAACGCGAAAACCUUACCUACCCUUGACAUGUCCGGAAUCCUGCAGAGAUGCGGGAGUGCCCGAAAGGGAAUCGGAACACAGGUGCUGCAUGGCUGUCGUCAGCUCGUGUCGUGAGAUGUUGGGUUAAGUCCCGCAACGAGCGCAACCCUUAUCAUUAGUUGCUACGCAAGGGCACUCUAAUGAGACUGCCGGUGACAAACCGGAGGAAGGUGGGGAUGACGUCAAGUCCUCAUGGCCCUUAUGGGUAGGGCUUCACACGUGCUACAAUGGUAGGUACAGAGGGCAGCUACACAGCGAUGUGAUGCGAAUCUCAAAAAGCCUAUCGUAGUCCAGAUUGGAGUCUGCAACUCGACUCCAUGAAGUAGGAAUCGCUAGUAAUCGCGGAUCAGAAUGCCGCGGUGAAUACGUUCCCGGGCCUU
rnacentral:rRNA from 1 species